ensembl:lincRNA
GGCAAGGCAGAAUGUUUCAACUACAUAUUUGCUUCCAAAUCUCAUGCACCCAACCCAUCCUGCUCUGUCCACAUCUUACAACUUUGUAUCCACUGUUUACUGGACUUUGUAUCUUUGUCACCGGAGAACAUUCUGUCCAGCAUCAACCCUGGUUCGGCAACGGGUGAGGUUACAUCAGUAUCCAUGUUCUCAAAUCCUACUCUGUUGCUCUUGCUUCUUUGUCUGCACUCUUGGGUCUAUUUAUAUCCUUUCAGUGCCUCCAGUCCAUGUGGAAGUCUGCAAACAUCACUCUGGUCAACAUCAAGGGUGCAAAAACAGUUCCCAUCAACUACAGGAAUCGUCGUGAUUUGUCUGCUGGUGAUGAGCUUCAGUGUUGUUGCGAAGGCCUUGUCGGGUUCAAAAAUCGCAAGUACAGCCGACAAGUAUAUUGGUGACACCAAGUGGUCCUACUCUUCAUCUCAUGGGCCUGGAGUAAAUACAAACAAGUGCAACAUCUUUGUUGCCGAUAUCAUGAAAGAGGCAGGAGGAUCUGUGCCUCAGAGACACUGGUGGGGGAAUAGCCCGAUUGGAGCUCGAGAAUGGGGAAACUCUGCCUCUUCUUACCUCAGUGAUGAUAACUGUUGGCGGCACGUGACAUCAUCACGAAUCGGUGAUGUCAUUGGAGAUGGUGUCCAUGUUGGCAUAGUGACUGGAGCACGACUGACAACUAGUGCUGCAGAGGACUCUGUGGUCAAGAAUGACUUUGGUUUCCGAUCGAGUCAAAAACGAAUGGUGCUUUGGCGUUACACCUGCUGAAUCAAAUGCAAAAUAACGAGCAAGGCCUUCUUCACUGUAUGGAGAUGUGCUUUUGCUAUUUCACUUGAUUUUAUUAAUCUGCUACAAUUGAUUGAAAUAAUUUAGUUAUUUCUUUCUUUCCAUGGCUGUUGGGAAUAAAUGGCUAAUUGCAAGAAAUGGCAUCUCUUAAAAAACACUCGAUGACGACUCACAUGUAGAUACACGUUCACAGACACAUGCAGAAGCAUGCACACACAGGAAUCAAACAAGGAAGAAGCAACAAGAAGACAAAAUGUAUCAAAUGCAUAAAGAGUAAUCAGCAAAUUGGAAAUGUCGUAAGUGUUGGUUAUGAUAAAAAAAAAAAAAAAACAGACAAGAAAACAUUUUUGAAAAAUCAAAUUUUAACAGUCCUUGUCAAGUUUGAGUAUCCAACUUGUAGCCAAAGUAAAUUAAUCUUCUCCACAGAUAUUUUAGAUGAAACUUCUACAAGCUCAAUCCUACCACCAAAUGAAUGAUUUACAAAAGACUGAUUCUGAUUAUGUGGUAUCUCACUCUGUUAUGGAUCAUCAAUGCUGCCGAAAAAGUUUAUUGGCAAAGGUUAUAUUGGGUGGUUUGCCAAUUGUCUUCCCAGGAGUAAUUAGGGCAGGGAUUUGUUAUUUGAUCAGGGUGCCUGCGAAAGCUCACUUACACUUCACGUGGGAUCCUUAACAUCCUCCAACUGAAGUCGGCAGAGGGUACAUCCGUUUAACAUUCUUCUGAUAGAUGGCUCACACAUUCAUAAAUCACGCUGCCUGUGAAACACCGAGAUGACAGUUUAUAGCUGGGUAGGGAUUCAAACCCAGGCUACACAGCCUCGAGGCAAGUGUUCACAGAAGACACCACCUUUCUAAUAUCCCACAAUUUGCAUACAACCUCAAAACACAAGGUCCACCAUCAGUACCCUUGUGUUGAAACUCCCAAAAUUCAGAACCGCUGCUCACCUCCACUCAUUUGUUCCCCCUUUUUACACCCAUGAAACCAAGUUCCACAUUCUCUCCAAUCUCAUUCUUUCCUCCUGGUCUUCAAGACAGCUGUUCACCAUGAUCUCAAAUCGUCCCCCAUCCAACAGCAUGAUAUUUUCUACCUCUUAACCCCUCUUCCCUCCUACACCUUCCGAGUUUCCAGUUUUCCUUUCUGAGUCUUUGCUUCUGUAUCCAUCUUGGCCAUCAUAGUGUCCUGAACUUGUGGACCACACGAUUCAUGAAACUACGUGUCCUUCCCUACCCCUCAUUCCUCCCCACACCCAGUGUUUGUCCGAGUCUUCCUUUAUUUUAUCCUUCAUCCCUGCUGUUGGUGUUUCCCCCUCUUUCUGCUGUUCAUUUUCUUCUGUUGCAUCCUGAUCCCUUCAGUGUUCUCGCUCUUCCACGCGCCUCGACUCUGCAUACAAAAAUAUAUACACAACUGCCACAUGCCGUCCAACAACAUCCACACGACUACCUGGAAGAAACUGAUGGACCCCCCCCCCCC